AAAAAAAAUCUCUAGACCCUGCCCUGUGGCAACUGAACAACCACCUAAAUUAACCCAACUGUGCAGCUGGAGAAAAGGAUUCUAAUAUGUCAAGAACUGUGAAGGGUCUGAGAUUUUAUCCUAUUUGCAAACUAACAAGUGAGCCUGCCACCGUUUUGUGGAUGCUGUCAGAAGACACGAGACUCCUGGGUCAGAGCCAAGGGAGUUUAUUACCAAGGCACAACAAGUAGCCUAAGCUUCAUGUUCCUGUUGUUUCCAUUUGCCCCUGUGUUCCAUGGGUGUGAGGUGGAACAGUGUAUGUGGAUGGUAAGAUUGCAGUGGUUUGCAUUACAGCUGAGAAACCUCAGGCUUAAAUAUCCUUUCAAUCUUUUAUAACAGACUGCAAGCAAGCUUACCCAGCUUUUGCCCCAGAGGGAGACAUUGUCUUUAUUACCCUGUACAGUAAACAAGCCUGCCCUCUGCUUCAGAGGAAGGUACUAA